rnacentral:lncRNA from 1 species
AGAAUUUCCUCCAGUAUUUUCAUAGCAACCUUCAGAUGAAAGUGUAGAACUCUCAGCUCCUCCUGCAUCAUGACUGCCUGGGGCUGCCAUGUUCCUGCCUUGAUGAUAAUGGACUGAACCUCUAAACCUGUAAGUCAGCCACAGUUAAAUGUUGUCCUUUAUAAGAGUCACCUUGGUCAUGGUGUCUGUUCACAGCCAUAAAACCCUAAGACAUCAAUAUUAGAUUUUCUAGGCUGUAUUGUUUCCCAUGUCUUUUUUUUCUUUUUUUCUCCCCAUCUCAGACUACAAAUCAGUACACAUCAGGCCUUCUAUAGUGUUUUUUUGUGUGUGUAUGUAUGUUUCCUACGCCAAUGAUUGGUUUGGUUUGGUUUGGUUUGGUUUUUUGAGACAGGGUUUCUCUGUGACUGGUUGUUCUAUUUCUGAGAUCUCUGAGACCCAGCCCACCAGGAACACACAAAUGUGGAACCGAGAUAGGCUGAGGACUUAUUAAACAGAAUUCUGCUGUUCCUAUCCCAGGGUUGGACCAAUGUGUAGAAAAUUGCUUAUGGGAUUCUUUGAAUGACUUUUUCAUUGCGGGAAAUAUUAAAAAUGAACCUGCCAACCUUCCACACUCCUGCUUCUUUCAAGCCACCAACUCAAGAGAUCUGUCUCUGCCUCCUACGUGCUGGAAUCAAAGGUAUGUGA